GAAUUGCGAUAAGUAAUGUGAAUUGCAGAUUUCCAGUGAAUCAUCGAAUCUUUGAACGCACCUUGCGCUCCUUGGUAUUCCGAGGAGCAUGCCUGUUUGAGUGUCAUUUAAUUCUCAACCAUGUCUUCAUUGACUUGGCUUGGAGUUGGGGGUUUGCUGGCGGUGUUCUCUAUCAUCAGCUCUCCUGAAAUGCAUUCGUGAUCAGUUGUUAUUAGGGCAUGCACGGCCUUUCGACGUGAUAAUGAUCGUCGAGGGCUGGAGUGUCCUUGACUUAACUAGAUCGCUUUCAUUACUUGCAAGCAAGCUCUUGCUUUUUGGUUAUUAGCUGGUCAACGGCGAACACCAAAGCGUAGACUUGACUUGACUUGACUUGACUUUUGAAACUUGACCUCAAAUCAGGUAGGACUACCCGCUGAACUUAA
rnacentral:rRNA from 1 species